AUUGAACGCUGGCGGCAUGCCUUACACAUGCAAGUCGAGCGGCAGCGCGGGGGCAACCCUGGCGGCGAGCGGCGGACGGGUGAGUAAUGCAUCGGAACGUGUCCUCUUGUGGGGGAUAACCAGUCGAAAGAUUGGCUAAUACCGCAUGAGCUCGUAAGAGGAAAGCGGGGGAUCCGUAAGGACCUCGCGCGAGAGGAGCGGCCGAUGCCCGAUUAGCUAGNGGUGGGGUAACGGCCUACCAAGGCGACGAUCGGUAGCUGGUCUGAGAGGAAGAUCAGCCACACUGGGACUGAGACACGGCCCAGACUCCUACGGGAGGCAGCAGUUGGGAAUCUUGGACAAUGGGGGAACCCUGAUCCAGCCAUGCCGCGUGAGUGAUGAAGGCC
rnacentral:rRNA from 1 species